CCUUUGAUAGCUCAGUUGGUAGAGCGGAGGACUGUAGAUCCUUAGGUCGCUGGUUCGAAUCCGGCUCAAAGGA